rnacentral:tRNA from 1 species
CACCCUAUAAAUACAGUAGGGUUACUGCCUUCUAAGCAGCCGGUCAUGUGUUCGAAUCACAUCGGGGCCA